CAGGGCAGGAGCCAAGGGCGGGAACGGCGGCGCCAGGGAGAGGGACGGGAUCUGGGAUGGAUCCUGGAUUUGGGAUCAGCACAGGAACAGUGGGAUCCUGCCCUGGGAUGGAUCCUGGAUUUGGGAUCAGUGUGGAAAACAGUGGGAUCCUGCCUUGGGAUUUGGGAUCAGUACAGGAGCAGCCUGGGAUGGAUCCUGGAUUUGGGAUCAGUGUGGAAAACACUGGGAUCCUGCCCUGGAUGGAUUCUGGAUUUGGGAUCAGUGUGGGGAACAGUGGGAUCCUGCCCUGGAUGGAUCCUGGAUUUGGGAUCAGUGUGGGGAACAACGGGAUCCUGCCCUGGGAUGGAUCCUGGAUUUGGGAUCAGUGUGGAAAACACUGGGAUCCUGCCCUGGAUGGAUUCUGGAUUUGGGAUUGGCACAGGAACAGUGGGAUCCUGCCCUGGGAUUUGGGAUCAGUGUGGGGAACACUGGGAUCCUGCCCUGGAUGGAUCCCGGAUUUGGGAUCAGCACAGGAACAGCCUGGGAUGGAUCCUGGAUUUGGGAUCAGCACAGGGAACAACGGGAUCCUGCCCUGGAUGGAUCCUGGAUUUGGGAUCAGCACAGGAACAGUGGGAUCCUGCCCUGGAUGGAUCCUGGAUUUGGGAUCAGCGUAUGGGAUCCUGCCCUGGGAUUUGGGAUCAGCACAGGAGCAGCCUGGGAUGGAUCCUGGAUUUGGGAUCAGUGUGGAAAACAGUGGGAUCCUGCCCGGGGAUUUGGGAUCAGCACAGGAGCAGCCUGGGAUGGAUCCUGGGUUUGGGAUCAGUGUGGGGAACACUGGGAUCCUGCCCUGGGAUGGAUCCUGGAUUUGGGAUCGACACAGGGAACAGUGGGAUCCUGCCCUGGGAUUUGGGAUCAGCGUGGGGAACAACAGGAUCCUGCCCUGGAUGUAUUCUGGAUUUGGGAUCAGCACAGGGAACAGUGGGAUCCUGCCCUGGGACUUGGGAUCAGCACAGGGAACAAUGGGAUCCUGCCCUGGGAUGGAUCCUGGAUUUGGGAUUGGCACAGGGAACAGUGGGAUCCUGCCCUGGAUGGAUCCUGGAUUUGGGAUCAGCACAGGGAACAGUGGGAUCCUGCCCUGGGAUGGAUCCUGGAUUUGGGAUCAGCGUGGAAAACAGUGGGACCCUGCCCUGGGAUUUGGGAUCAGCACAGGAGCAGCCUGGGAUGGAUCCUGGAUUUGGGAUCGACACAGGGAACAGUGGGAUCCUGCCCUGGGACUUGGGAUCAGCACAGGGAACAAUGGGAUCCUGCCCUGGGAUGUAUUCUGGAUUUGGGAUCAGCACAGGAAACAGUGGGAUCCUGCCCUGGAUGGAUCCUGGAUUUGGGAUUGGCACAGGAACAGUGGGAUCCUGGAUUUGGGAUCAGUGUGGGGAACAGUGGGAUCCUGCCCUGGGAUGGAUCCUGGAUUUGGGAUCAGCGCAGGAACAGUGGGAUGGAUCCUGGAUUUGGGAUCAGCACGGGGAACACUGGGAUCCUGCCCUGGGAUGGAUCCUGGAUUUGGGAUCAGUGUGGGGAACAGUGGGAUCCUGCCCUGGAUGGAUCCUGGAUUUGGGAUUGGCACAGGAACAGUGGGAUCCUGGAUUUGGGAUCAGUGUGGAAAACAGUGGGAUCCUGCCCUGGGAUUUGGGAUCAGCACAGAAACAGCCUGGGAUGGAUCCUGGAUUUGGGAUCAGCACAGGGAACAGUGGGAUCCUGCCCUGGGAUGGAUCCUGGAUUUGGGAUCAGUGGGAUCCUGCCCUGGGAUGGAUCCCAAGGAAGGGCAGGGAUUCCAGGGCUGCAGCUUUCUGAAUUGAGAGAGAAUUUUUUGGGGGGGGGAUUCUCUGAAUUUAGAAAGAAUUUUAGGGAUUCUCUGCUGCAGCACACCUGGGAUGGGACCUGGGGCACACCUGGGAUGGNCGGACUCCUCCAGGGACCUGGGGACAGACAGACGGACACUCUGAGCUCCCGGCAAUGACACGGGGACAGCCCUGGAUCCCUCCGGGUUUUCCCAGGAAUGGGAACAGGAAUAUCCCUGGACCUUGCUGAGUUUUCCCAGGAAAUGGGAACAGUCCUCUGGGUUUUCCUGGGAAUGGGAACA
ensembl:lncRNA